CAUGCCGCGUGCAGGAUGAAGCAUCUAUGGUGUGUAAACUGCUUUUGUACGGGAAGAAACCCUGGCUCGUGAGCCAGAUUGGCGGUACCGUAAGAAUAAGGAUCGGCUAACUCCGUGCCAGCAGCCGCGGUAAUACGGAGGAUCCAAGCGUUAUCCGGAAUCAUUGGGUUUAAAGGGUCCGUAGGCGGGCCAGUAAGUCAGUGGUGAAAUCUCUCCGCUCAACGGGGAAAUGGCCAUUGAUACUGCUGGUCUUGAAUUAUUAGGAAGUAACUAGGAUAUGUAGUGUAGCGGUGAAAUGCUUAGAGAUUACAUGGAAUACCAAUUGCGAAGGCAGGUCACUACUAAUUGAUUGACGCUGAUGGACGAAAGCGUGGGUAGCGAACAGGAUUAGAUACCCUGGUAGUCCACGCCGUAAACGAUGGAUACUAGCUGUUGGGGGCAACCUCAGCGGCUAAGCGAAAGUGAUAAGUAUCCCACCUGGGGAGUACGUUCGCAAGAAUGAAACUCAAAGGAAUUGACGGGGGCCCGCACAAGCGGUGGAGCAUGUGGUUUAAUUCGAUGAUACGCGAGGAACCUUACCAAGGCUUAAAUGUAGAUUGACAGGACUGGAAACAGUUUUUUCUUCGGACAAUUUACAAGGUGCUGCAUGGUUGUCGUCAGCUCGUGCCGUGAGGUGUCAGGUUAAGUCCUAUAACGAGCGCAACCCCUGUUGUUAGUUGCCAGCGAGUAAGGUCGGGAACUCUAACAAGACUGCCAGUGCACACUGUGAGGAAGGUGGGGAUGACGUCAAAUCAUCACGGCCCUUACGCCUUGGGCUACACACGUGCUACAAUGGCCGGUACAGAGAGCAGCCACCUCGUGAGGGGGAGCGAAUCUAUAAAACCGGUCACAGUUCGGAUCGGAGUCUGCAACUCGA
rnacentral:rRNA from 1 species